GACGAACGCUGGCGGCGUGCUUAACACAUGCAAGUCGAACGGAAAGGCCCUGCUUUUGUGGGGUGCUCGAGUGGCGAACGGGUGAGUAACACGUGAGUAACCUGCCCUUGACUUUGGGAUAACUUCAGGAAACUGGGGCUAAUACCGGAUAGGAGCUCCUGCUGCAUGGUGGGGGUUGGAAAGUUUCGGCGGUUGGGGAUGGACUCGCGGCUUAUCAGCUUGUUGGUGGGGUAGUGGCUUACCAAGGUUUUGACGGGUAGCCGGCCUGAGAGGGUGACCGGCGACAUUGGGACUGAGAUACGGCCCAGAAUCCUACGGGAGGCAGCAGUGGGGAAUAUUGCACAAUGGGCGGAAGCCUGAUGCAGCAACGCCGCGUGCGGGAUGACGGCCUUCGGGUUGUAAACCGCUUUCGCCUGUGACGAAGCGUGAGUGACGGUAAUGGGUAAAGAAGCACCGGCUAACUACGUG
rnacentral:rRNA from 1 species